AUGAAAAGGUGCUGGUAUUCAUGUCCCGGUUGUGCCAUGAGUGAUGAAGCCCUCGGUCUCUGAACAAGGACUCCCGUGCCUUCUGUCCACACCCCUGGAAGUGUUACAGGCUGACCUGUUAACUCGAAAGCAGGCCCGCUGCAUGGAAGCUCCAGUGCGUCGUUGGGGGAUGGAUCAAAGAUAAAAACUAAACCCCCCAACAAAUGGAAGAUGUUAACAACUUGAUGAAGCAGUCUUCAUUCCAGAGAGAAGGGCACAGUUCGAUAUCCUUGAGAACCACAGAAGCUCAUCAGGAGACCACCUGAGGCCAGAUGAAAGGAGCACAGGUUCUGCACUCACCCUGAUCUUUAUCAGCAACCCCGGCCUUGAACCAUUGCUAUAAAACUCCUCACCA